rnacentral:rRNA from 1 species
UAGUCCACGCCGUAAACGAUGAUUACUCGUUGUGUGCGAUAUACAGUACGCGACUAAGCGAAAGUAUUAAGUAAUCCACCUGGGGAGUACGUUGGCAACAAUGAAACUCAAAGGAAUUGACGGGGGCCCGCACAAGCGGAGGAACAUGUGGUUUAAUUCGAUGAUACGCGAGGAACCUUACCUGGACUUAAAUGCAAAACGACCGGCGCCGAAAGGUGCUUUCUCUUCGGAGCGGACUGCAAGGUGCUGCAUGGUUGUCGUCAGCUCGUGCCGUGAGGUGUCGGGUUAAGUCCCAUAACGAGCGCAACCCCUAUCGUUAGUUGCUAACAGGUAAUGCUGAGAACUCUAGCGAAACUGCCGGUGUAAACCGUGAGGAAGGUGGGGAUGACGUCAAAUCAGCACGGCCCUUACGUCCAGGGCUACACACGUGUUACAAUGGCCGAUACAAUGGGCAGCUACUUGGCAACAAGAUGCUAAUCUCCAAAGUCGGUCUCAGUUCGGA